UAGGGAAUAUUGCGCAAUGGACGAAAGUCUGACGCAGCGACGCCGCGUGUGGGAGGAAGCCUUUCGGGGUGUAAACCACUGUCAGAGGGGAAGAACCGCGCCAUUUCGAAUAGGCUUGGCGCCUGACGGUACCCUCAGAGGAAGCGCCGGCUAACUCCGUGCCAGCAGCCGCGGUAAGACGGAGGGCGCAAGCGUUGUUCGGAAUUACUGGGCGUAAAGCGCGGGCAGGUGGUCCGUUAAGUCGUCUGUGAAAAUCCGGGGCUCAACCCCGUGAAAUGCAGGCGAUACUGGCGGACUGGAGAUCGGUAGAGGCUAGCGGAAUUCCUGGUGUAGCGGUGGAAUGCGUAGAUAUCAGGAAGAACACCCGUGGCGAAGGCGGCUAGCUGGGCCGAGUCUGACACUCAUCCGCGAAAGCGUGGGGAGCAAACAGGAUUAGAUACCCGUGUAGUCC
rnacentral:rRNA from 1 species